rnacentral:tRNA from 1 species
UCCCUGAUGGUCCAGUGGUUAGGACUGAACCCUUUCACUGCUAUGACCCAUGGGUUCAGUCCCUGGUCGGGGAA